rnacentral:rRNA from 1 species
AUAGGGCUAAUACAUGCCAAUAAGACCCGACUGUUAUGGAAGGGUUGUAUUUAUUAGAUAACAAACCAAUACUCUUCGGAGUUUGCCGGUGAUUCAUAAUAACUUCACGGACCGCAUGACUUGUUCGGCGGCGCUUCAUUCAAAUUUCUGCCCUAUCAACUUUCGAUGGUAGUAUAGAGGACUACCAUGGUUAUAACGGGUAACGGAGAAUUAGGGU